AUUUUUGAGAGUUUGAUCCUGGCUCAGGAUGAACGCUGGCGGCGUGCCUUAGGCAUGCAAGUCGAACGGGUCCGAGCAAUCGGACAAGUGGCAGACGGGUGAGUAACGCGUAGGAACCUACCCCUUGGCGGGGUAUAGCCAGCCGAAAGGCUGGGUAAUACCGCAUAAUCUUUUCGGAGCAAAGGCCGUAACUGGCCACCGAGGGAGGGGCCUGCGUCCUAUCAGCUUGUUGGUGGGGUAACGGCCUACCAAGGCUAUGACGGGUAGGGGGCGUGAGAGCGCGGCCCCCCACAAGGUCACUGUGAUACGGGACCUACACCUACGGGUGGCAGCAACUAGGAAUAUUGCGCAAUGGGCGAAAGCCUGACGCAGCGACGCCGCGUGGUGGAUGAAGCCCUUCGGGGUGUAAACACCUGUGGCAGGGGAAGAAGAUCUGACGGUACCCUGCUAGAAAGCACCUGCAAACUACGUGCCAGCAGCCGCGGUAAAACGUAGGGUGCAAGCGUUAUCCGGAUUUACUGGGCGUAAAGAGUGUCGUAGGUGGUUUGAUGCGUCCGAUUUUAAAGACCCCGGCUCAACCGGGGAACAGGGUCGGAUACGAUCAGACUUGAGCGCGUUCGGGGAGGCUGGAAUUGACGGUGGAGGGGUGAAAUCCGUUGAUAUCGUCAAGAACACCGAGGGCGAAGGCAAGCCUCUAGGACGAUGCUGACACUGAGGAACGAAAGCUAGGGGAGCAAACUGGAUUAGAGACCCAGGUAGUCCUAGCAGUAAACAAUGGAUACUAGCUGGUCCGGCUUUGCCGGGCUGGCGUAAGCUAACGCGUUAAGUAUCCCGCCUGGGGAGUACGGCCGCAAGGUUAAAACUCAAAGGAAUUGACGGGGAUCUGCACAACCAGUGGAGCAUGUGGUUUAAUUCGAAACAAAGCGAUGAACCUUACCUGGGCUUGACAUUCUAUCGUUUUAUUCUGGUGGAAACAUCGGAAGAUCCGCAAGGAUGAUAGAACAGCUGCUGCAUGGCUGUCGUCAGCUCGUGUCGUGAGACGUCCGCUUAAGUGCGGUAACGAGCGCAACCCUUGCCCCGUGUUGAAUUAUCACGGGGGACUGCCUUGUUACAGACAGGGAGGAAGGGGAGGAUGACGUCAAGUCAGCAUGGCGCUUACGCCCAGGGCCACACACAUCCUACAAUGGGUGGGACAACGGGUCGCGAUGGGGUAACCAGGAGCUAAUCCUUCAAACCCACCCUCAGUUCAGAUUGUAGGCUGCAAUUCGCCUACAUGAAGUCGGAAUUGGUAGUAAUCGCGGGUCAGCAGACCGCGGUGAAUACGUUCUCAGAUCUUGUACACACUGCCCGUCAAGCCAGCAAAGUCGGCAGAGCCCGAACUGGGAUUUCCUAACUUGGUAGCAAUACCAGGAAGGAGCCCCCUAAGGCUAGGUCGGUGAUGAGGACUAAGUCGUAAAUACGUUGCGACCUGUCCGAGCAAUUGGGCAGGAAAAUUUGGCUGUA
rnacentral:rRNA from 1 species